rnacentral:lncRNA from 1 species
UCUGUCUUUCUUUAGUGGUGAAAGUGGUGCUGGAAAAACAGUGGCUGCCAAAUAUAUCAUGAGCUACAUCUCCAGAGUGUCUGGAGGAGGGACCAAAGUCCACACGUGAAGGACAUUAUCCUGCAGUCCAACCCGCUGCUGGAGGCCUUCGGGAACGCCAAGACCGUCCGGAACAACAACUCCAGCCGAUUGGAAAAUACUUUGAAAUCCAGUUCAGUCCAGGUGGGGAACCAGAUGGUGGAAAGAUCUCCAACUUCCUUCUGGAAAA